UGACCCCAGCUCAGGAGAGAACACCUAUUGAUUUUAAGCAUAUAAUUAAGUGGAGGAAAAGAAACUUACAAGGAUUCCCCUAGUAACGACGAGUGAAUCGAGAAGAUCCCAACAUGAAAAUUGGGUGGUAGGGACGCCUGAAUUGUAGUCUAUAGAAGCAUCCUUAGCAGUGGACUGGGCCCAAGUCCCUUGGAAGGGGGAUCCUGAGAGGGUGACAGUGCCAUCGGGCCGAAACCCUGUCGCACCACGAGGAGUUGUUGGCAAGUUGGGUUGUUUUGGAAUGCAACCCUAAUCGGGUGGUAAAUUCUAUCCAAGGAUAAAUAUGGGUGAGAGACUGAUAGAAAACAAGUACCAUGAAUGAAAGAUGAAAAGGACUUUGAAAAGAGAGUUAAAGAGUGCUUGAAAUUACUAGGAGGGAAGUGGAUGGAGGUUGGUGAUGCACCUUGGUUGGAUGUGGAACGACUCAAGUUGGUAUUUCACUCGACUCGAGGUGCAAACCAUCACAGACCAUUGCAUAGGCAUAAGUGUGGUUGGAUUAAUACCUGUUAGUUUGUCAUUAUGGCGAUCGAGGAACGAAGCAUGCACCCCUUAGGGCGAGCCACUGUGCACCUGCAUCCUCGUGGUGUUGGUUGGCAGGAUUUCCAUUCGACCCAUCUUGAAACACAGAAUAAGGAGUCUAACAUGUGUUCGAUUCGGUGGUUUUGUAAACCUAUGAGGCGUAAGGAAGAUGACAGGUGAUAUCCCCUCUCCAUGGGGUGCAUUAUCAACCGACCUUGAGCUUGUGCGAAGGAUUCGAGCACGAGCACACUUGUUGGGACCCAAAAUAUGGUGAACUAUGCCUGAGCAGGGAAAAGCCAAAGGAAACUCUGGUGGAGGAUCGUAGUGAUACUGAUGUGAAAAUCAUUCGUCUAACUUGGGUAUAGGGGCGAAAUACUAAUCGAACCAUCUAGUAGCUAGUUUCCUCUGAAUUUUCCCUAUGGAUAGUUGGAGCUCACGUGCGAGUUUUAUUGGGUAAAUAAAAUGAUUAGAGGCAUCAGGGGUGUAACACCCUCAACCUAUUAUCAAACUUUAAAUAGGUAAGACAGUGCAGUUGCUCGACUGAGCCGUGCCACGGAAUCAAGAUCUCUAAGUGGGCCAUUUUUGGUAAGAAGAACUGGCGAUGCGGGAUGAACCGAAAGUUGAGUUAUGGUGCCAAAAUGCACGCUAACCCGGAUCCCACAAAGGGUAUUGGUUGAUUAAGACAGUCGAACGGUGGUCAUGGAAGUCAAAAUCUACUAAGGAGUGUGUAACAACUCACCUACCGAAUCAACUAGCCUAAAAAAUGGAUGGCACUGAAACACGCGACAUAUACUCGAUCGUCGGAGCAAUUUCCAGGAUUCGAUAAGUAGGAGGACACAGGGGUUGUGAGCCUAGGUGGACCAGUCCCCAGUGCAGAUCUUGGUGGUAGUAGAAAAUAUUGAAAUGAUAACUUUGAAGAAUGAAGUGGGGAAAGGUUCCAUGUGAACAACACUUGGAUAUGGGUUAGUCGAUCCUAAGAUAUGGGGAAGCCAUGUAUCAAGGGUGCACUCUUCAUGAACAUCGAAAGGGAAUUGGGUUAAUAUUCCCGAACUAGGACAUGGCAGAGGAUGACAACAUUAGGAAAUCCGGAGACGUCAUCGGGGCCCCCGAGAAGAGUUAUCUUUUCCCUUUAACAACUUUCCCACCCUGAAAUCAGCUCAACUGGAGAUAGGGUCCAACAGCUAGAAGAUAAUCACACGUCUUGCGGUGUCCGGUGUGCCCUCGUCAGCCCUUGAAAAUCUGGAGGACUGAGUACCGUCCAUGCCCAGUCGUACUCAUAACCGCAUCAGGUAUCCAAGGUGAACAUCCUCUGGUCAAUAGAACAAUGUAGGUGAGGGAAGUCGGCAAAGUGGAUCUGUAACUUUGGGAAAAGGAUUGGCACUGAGGGUUGGGCCUAGGGGUCUACGUCCUCAACCCUUGGGCUUUCGACAGUCUACACGAGUUGUUAUUGCAAUGAGGGUGGGCAGUCGCGUGUCGAUUGGGCUACGAACGUAGAAUGUCCCCUCACGGGGGAUUUUCCCUAGGCGAUGAACAGUCAACUCAGAACUGGUAUGGGCAAGGGGAAUCUGACUAUUUAAUUAAAACAAAGCAUUUCUAUGGUCCUUGUGGAUGCUGACGCAAUGUGAUUUUUGCCUAGUUCUCUGAAUGUCAAAGUGAAUAAAUUUAACCAAGCACGGGUAAAUGGAGGGAGUAACUAUGACUCUCUUAAGGUAGCCAAAUGCCUCAUCAUCUAAUUAGUGACACGCAUGAAUGGAUUAAUGAGAUUCCCAUUGUCCCUAUCUACUAUCUAGCGAAACCACAACCAAGGAAAUGGGCUUGGCAUAAUCAGUGGGGAAAGAAGACCCUGUUGAGAUUGACUCUAGUCUGACUUUGUGAAAUGAGUUGAGAGGUGUAGAAUAAGUGGGAGUCAUUUUCGACGCAAGUGAAAUACCACUACUUGUAACAUUAUUUUACUUAUUCCAUCGGGUGGAGACGAGGCAUCGCCCCUGUUUUUUUCCUUAAGACACAUUUCGAUAGGUCGAUCUGGGUGAAAUACAUUGUCAGGUGGGGAGUUUGGCUGGGGUGGUACAUCUAUUAAAAUAUAAUACAGGUGUCCUAAGAUGAGCUCAAUGAGAACAUAAAUCUCGUGUGUAACAAAAGGGUAAAAUCUCAUUUGAUUUUGAUUUUCAUUAUGAAUACAAGCCGUGAAAGUGUGGCCUAUCGAUCCUUUAGACUUUCAGAAUAUGAAUCUAGAGGUGUCAGAAAAGUUACCACAAGGAUAACUAGAUUGUGGCAGCCAAGCAUUCAUAGUGAAAUUUAUUUUGUAUCCUUUGAUGUCAACUCUUCCUAUCAUUGUGAAAUAGAAUUCACCAAGUGUUGGAUUGUUCACCCACCAAUAGGGAAUGUGAGCUAGGUUUAGACCGUCGUGAUACAGGUUAUUUUUACCCUAAUGAUGAACCAUUUCACAAUAGAAAUUCAACUUAGUACGAGAGGAACCAUUGAUUCACACAAUUGGUCAUCGCGCUUGGUUGAAAAUCCAAUGACACGAAGCCACCUUGUGUUAGAUUAUGACCGAAUGCCUCUAAGUCAGAAUCCAUGCUAGAAUCAGCACUUUUCACUCCUUGACUGUAUAUUGACCCACAGUAGUGGUGUCACUUCGGCACCCCCAGGGGCCUGUGUCACUUGUGAACCUCGGUAGGGAAGCGUCUCAGUCGGGGCAUCUUUGAAGUUCAAUUUCAAACAGUCAUUGAGAAGAAUCCUUUGCAAACGACUUAAAUACGCGAUGGGGUAUUGUAAGUGGUAGAGUGGCCUUGCUUCCAUGAUCCACUGAGAUUCAUCCCUUUAUCGCCUCGAUUCAG
rfam:Picea glauca, whole genome shotgun sequence.